GAAUAUGAAGCUUGAUAAAGUCUCAGUUUUGCAAAGACUGAUGAGGAUUGUGAUAUCCCAUAUUUU
rnacentral:tRNA from 1 species